rnacentral:rRNA from 1 species
GAUUAAGUUAUUAAGGGCGCACGGUGGAUGCCUUGGCACUAGAAGCCGAAGAAGGACGUUACUAACGACGAUAUGCUUUGGGGAGCUGUAAGUAAGCGUURAUCCAGAGAUUUCCGAAUGGGGAAACCCAACAUGAGUUAUGUCAUGUUAUCGAUAUGUGAAUACAUAGCAUAUCAGAAGGCAGACCCGGAGAACUGAAACAUCUUAGUACCCGGAGGAAGAGAAAGAAAAAUCGAUUCCCUGAGUAGCGGCGAGCGAAACGGGAAGAGCCCAAACCAACAAGCUUGCUUGUUGGGGUUGUAGGACACUCUAUACGGAGUUACAAAAGUAUAUAUUAGACGAAUCAUCUGGAAAGUUGAAUCAAAGAAGGUAAUAAUCCUGUAGUCGAAAAUAUAUACUCUCUUGAGUGGAUCCUGAGUACGACGGAGCACGUGAAAUUCCGUCGGAAUCUGGGAGGACCAUCUCCUAAGGCUAAAUACUCUCUAGUGACCGAUAGUGAACCAGUACCGUGAGGGAAAGGUGAAAAGUACCCCGGAAGGGGAGUGAAAGAGAACUUGAAACCGUGUGCUUACAAGUAGUCAGAGCCCGUUAAUGGGUGAUGGCGUGCCUUUUGUAGAAUGAACCGGCGAGUUACGAUUUGAUGCAAGGUUAAGCAGUGAAUGUGGAGCCGUAGCGAAAGCGAGUCUGAAUAGGGCGUUGAGUAUUUGGUCGUAGACCCGAAACCAGGUGAUCUACCCUUGGUCAGGUUGAAGUUCAGGUAACACUGAAUGGAGGACCGAACCGACUUACGUUGAAAAGUGAGCGGAUGAACUGAGGGUAGCGGAGAAAUUCCAAUCGAACCUGGAGAUAGCUGGUUCUCUCCGAAAUAGCUUUAGGGCUAGCCUCAAGUGAUGAUUAUUGGAGGUAGAGCACUGUUUGGACGAGGGGCCCUUCUCGGGUUACCGAAUUCAGACAAACUCCGAAUGCCAAUCAAUUUAACUUGGGAGUCAGAACAUGGGUGAUAAGGUCCGUGUUCGAAAGGGAAACAGCCCAGACCACCAGCUAAGGUCCCAAAAUAUAUGUUAAGUGGAAAAGGAUGUGGCGUUGCCCAGACAACUAGGAUGUUGGCUUAGAAGCAGCCAUCAUUUAAAGAGUGCGUAAUAGCUCACUAGUCGAGUGACACUGCGCCGAAAAUGUACCGGGGCUAAACAUAUUACCGAAGCUGUGGAUUGUCCGUAGGACAAUGGUAGGAGAGCGUUCUAAGGGCGUUGAAGCAUGAUCGCAAGGACAUGUGGAGCGCUUAGAAGUGAGAAUGCCGGUGUGAGUAGCGAAAGACGGGUGAGAAUCCCGUCCACCGAUUGACUAAGGUUUCCAGAGGAAGGCUCGUCCGCUCUGGGUUAGUCGGGUCCUAAGCUGAGGCCGACAGGCGUAGGCGAUGGAUAACAGGUUGAUAUUCCUGUACCACCUAGUAUCGUUUUAAUCGAUGGGGGGACGCAGUAGGAUAGGCGAAGCGUGCUAUUGGAUUGCACGUCCAAGCAGUAAGACUGAGUGUUAGGCAAAUCCGGCACUCAUAAGGUCAAGCUGUGAUGGGGAGAGGAAAUUGUUUCCUCGAGUCGUUGAUUUCACACUGCCAAGAAAAGCCUCUAGAUAGAUAACAGGUGCCCGUACCGCAAACCGACACAGGUAGUCAAGAUGAGAAUUCUAAGGUGAGCGAGCGAACUCUCGUUAAGGAACUCGGCAAAAUGACCCCGUAACUUCGGGAGAAGGGGUGCUCUUUAGGGUUAACGCCCAGAAGAGCCGCAGUGAAUAGGCCCAAGCGACUGUUUAUCAAAAACACAGGUCUCUGCUAAACCGUAAGGUGAUGUAUAGGGGCUGACGCCUGCCCGGUGCUGGAAGGUUAAGAGGAGUAGUUAGCUUCUGCGAAGCUACGAAUCGAAGCCCCAGUAAACGGCGGCCGUAACUAUAACGGUCCUAAGGUAGCGAAAUUCCUUGUCGGGUAAGUUCCGACCCGCACGAAAGGCGUAACGAUUUGGGCACUGUCUCAACGAGAGACUCGGUGAAAUCAUAGUACCUGUGAAGAUGCAGGUUACCCGCGACAGGACGGAAAGACCCCGUGGAGCUUUACUGUAGCCUGAUAUUGAAAUUCGGCACAGCUUGUACAGGAUAGGUAGGAGCCUUUGAAACGUGAGCGCUAGCUUACGUGGAGGCAUUGGUGGGAUACUACCCUAGCUGUGUUGGCUUUCUAACCCGCACCACUUAUCGUGGUGGGAGACAGUGUCAGGUGGGCAGUUUGACUGGGGCGGUCGCCUCCUAAAAGGUAACGGAGGCGCUCAAAGGUUCCCUCAGAAUGGUUGGAAAUCAUUCAUAGAGUGUAAAGGCAUAAGGGAGCUUGACUGCGAGACUUACAAGUCGAGCAGGGUCGAAAGACGGACUUAGUGAUCCGGUGGUUCCGCAUGGAAGGGCCAUCGCUCAACGGAUAAAAGCUACCCCGGGGAUAACAGGCUUAUCUCCCCCAAGAGUUCACAUCGACGGGGAG